UCAUUUAGAGGAAGGAGAAGUCGUAACAAGGUUUCCGUAGGUGAACCUGCGGAAGGAUCAUUGUCGCAUCCUGCAAACGACCGCGAACACGUCCGGCGCGGAUAGCGCCAAGGACUACUCAAACGGAUCCUCCGUGCCGGUUUCCGCAGGGCGGGUGCGGUGCGUCUGAAAUCGUAUAACCAAUACGACUCUCGGCAACGGAUAUCUAGGCUCUCGCAUCGAUGAAGAACGUAGCGAAAUGCGAUACUUGGUGUGAAUUGCAGAAUCCCGUGAACCAUCGAGUUUUUGAACGCAAGUUGCGCCCGAAGCCAUUAGGCUGAGGGCACGCCUGCCUGGGCGUCACGCAUCGUCGCCACCCGUGACGGAAUUUGGCCUCCCGUGCGCGGCCGGCCUAAAUGCGAGUCCUCCGUUCGGAAACGUCACGACAAGUGGUGGUUGAAAACCUCUUCCCGAUCGAAGUCGUGGCCCUUUGCCUUGCGGAUGGUGCUCAAAGACCCUGGUCCUCGACCAUGACCCCAGGUCAGACGGGACUACCCGCUGAGUUUAAGCAUAUCAAUAAGCG
rnacentral:rRNA from 1 species